rnacentral:rRNA from 1 species
GCCUAACACAUGCAAGUCGAGCGGCAGCGGGAGGUGCUUGCACCUCGCCGGCGAGCGGCGGACGGGUGAGUAAUGCAUAGGAAACUGCCCGGUAGUGGGGGAUAACCUGGGGAAACCCAGGCUAAUACCGCAUACGUCCUACGGGAGAAAGCAGGGGCUCUUCGGACCUUGCGCUAUCGGAUGUGCCUAUGUCGGAUUAGCUAGUUGGUGAGGUAACGGCUCACCAAGGCGACGAUCCGUAGCUGGUCUGAGAGGAUGAUCAGCCACACUGGGACUGAGACACGGCCCAGACUCCUACGGGAGGCAGCAGUGGGGAAUAUUGGACAAUGGGCGAAAGCCUGAUCCAGCCAUGCCGCGUGUGUGAAGAAGGCUUUCGGGUUGUAAAGCACUUUCAGUGGGGAAGAAAGCCUGGCGGUUAAUACCCGUCAGGGACGACAUCACCCACAGAAGAAGCACCGGCUAACUCCGUGCCAGCAGCCGCGGUAAUACGGAGGGUGCGAGCGUUAAUCGGAAUUACUGGGCGUAAAGCGCGCGUAGGCGGCUUGAUAAGCCGGGUGUGAAAGCCCUGGGCUCAACCUGGGAACGGCAUCCGGAACUGUCAAGCUAGAGUGCAGGAGAGGAAGGUAGAAUUCCCGGUGUAGCGGUGAAAUGCGUAGAGAUCGGGAGGAAUACCAGUGGCGAAGGCGGCCUUCUGGACUGACACUGACGCUGAGGUGCGAAAGCGUGGGUAGCAAACAGGAUUAGAUACCCUGGUAGUCCACGCCGUAAACGAUGUCGACUAGCCGUUGGGCUCCUCGCGAGCUUAGUGGCGCAGUUAACGCGAUAAGUCGACCGCCUGGGGAGUACGGCCGCAAGGUUAAAACUCAAAUGAAUGAAC